rnacentral:lncRNA from 1 species
GAUUGCCUGCUGCGCCAGCAAUGUCCAAUAAUAAUACGUUGGAAAACCCCCGCGCUGGUCUAGUUAAUUCUAGUAAUGGAGCAACCCGUAGAGAUUCACAAGAAGGAGAACCAGGUAAUUCAGAUAAUUCUGAUCUUCAAAAUUUAGUACUAACCUUGCAGAAACAGCUCAAGGAGCAAAACGAGCGUAUCGAGCAAAUCCCUGGAGUUCCCCCUGUGAUACAAAGAGUGAACAUGGAUAAAUACUUACAACAACCUUGGAAACCAAGUGUUGUUCCCCUACCAAUUCCGAAAAAAUUCAAAAUGCCCGAUAUCCCUCGCCUGUAAUAAAAGGAGUAGACGCGGAUAAAUACUCACAACGACCUUGGAAACCAAGCGCUGCUCCCUACAAAUUCCAAAAAAAUUUAAAAUGCCUGACAUCCCAAAAUAUGAUGGUACAACAGACCCACAUGACCACGUAACCGCGUUUAUAAUAGGAGUGAAAGGCAACGAUUUGACCAAACAAGAAAUUGAAUCAGUAUUGGUCAAAAAGAUUGGAGAGACGCUCACCAAGGCUGCAUUAACCUGGUAUUCUCUUUUACCUAAAAUUUCAAUAAAUUCUUUUGCUGAGCUUGCAGAUUCUUUUAUUAAAGCACACUCGGGAGCUCAAAAGGCCGAGAAAAGGAUGGAUGAUAUCUUCAAAAUCAAACAAGGGAACUCUGAGUUGCUCCGGGAUUUGGUUGAUAGAUUCCAAUGUGAAAGAAUGACUUUGCCCCAUGUACCAGAUAACUGGGCAGCAAUAGCUUUUGCAAGUAAUUUGAACGACAAAAGUUCAGAAGCCACGAGAAGGCUUAAAGAAAGCCUUCGUGAAUUUCCCGCAACCACUUGGAACGAUGUUUAUAACAGGUACAAUACAAAGCUUUGAAUCGAAGAAAAUACUGUACCUCAAUAUCAUCGUGAAGAAAGGAGCGGGUCCAGGAGGUUAGAAGCUGAAAAAAUAUCAUGUAAGAAUAGGUAUGAUCCAUAUAUGGGACCUGCAGGAAAAGAUUCACGAUCUAGACAGAAUAACCAACGAUAUGAUCAAUGGUCACGAGAUAGGGAAAUCGGGUCUUCAUCCAGGUUUAGAGGGGAUCGAAGCAACCAAGAGCCAUGAGAUGACGAUAGGAAUUUAAUGGCACGAUUCGCUGGUUGUAAUUUCAAUGUAACUAAUUCUGAGCUCGUAGCUGUUCUGAGGGGUAUGAGAGAAAAGGUACGGUGGCCAAAAGAGAUGCGGUCAAAUCCAAAUAGACGUAACCCGGACCAUUGGUGCGAGUUCCACAAUGACCACGGGCAUAAAAUAUCAGAAUGCAGAUUCCUACAAAGUGAAGUAGACCAUCUACUGAAGCAAGGAUAUCUCACAGAGCUGUUUAGUGAGAAGGGAAAACAAGCUUACAUGAAAAUUAGGCAGGAGCCACCAAAACCGCCAUCACCUAAGAGAACAGUGAAUGUCAUCAGUGGAGGGGAAGAUAUUUAUAGAGUAACGUACACGGCUUCAAAUAAGGUUUCCAAAUGACGAUCACACACGGGAAGCGAGUACGGAAAACCUUAGAACACGAAAGCAUAAGCUUUGAUGAUGUAGAUACAGAAGGAGUGGUUACUCCUCACAAUGAUGCAUUGGUAAUAUCCUUACUUAUACAUUACAUUGAUGUAAACUGAGUUUUGAUUGAUCCAGAAAGUUCUGCAAAUAUCACUCUACUAAGGGUACUGUGGAAAAUGCAAGCUGAAGAUAAAAUGAUACCCAAGGCGCAUACUUUGUCGGGCUUCGACAAUUCAAAUGUGGUAACAAAAGGUGAGGUAAUUCUAACAACUUUUGCGCAGGUGUUAUAAAAGAAACUAAGUUUCAGGUAGUUGAUAUGGAUACGGUGUGCAACAUAAUCAUGGGGAGACCCUGGAUCCAUGAUAUGGAUGUUGUUCCAUCAACUUUUUCAUCAAGUUAUUAAGUUUCCAUCACCCUGGGGAAUACGUCAAAUUUGAGGAGAUCAACAAGCAGCCAGGAGUAUAAAAGCCGUAACAGAUACGAGUACCGCGAGUAAAGAGAAAUAGCAAUUAGAGGAAACAAUUGGAGGUGUCAACAAUCAAACUUCAACUGAAUAACAAAAAAUAGAUUUAGACUCAAGACAUGAUGUAAUUCAAGAACCUGAAGAAAAUGAGAACAUUAAAACAACAAUAGAGGAGCUUGAGGCUGUGGUGCUAUUUGAGCAAUGGCCUGAAAGAAAGGUUUGCGUAGGAGCCAAUCUAAAUCCCGACAUGCAAGGUAUGUUAAUUGAGUUUUUAAAAGCUAACGUGGAUUGUUUUGCUUGGUCCCACGCUGAUAUGACAUGAAUACCACCUGAUGUGAUGACUCACAAACUCAACGAGGACCCAUCUUUCAUACCUAUAAAGCAAAAGAAAAAAAAGCAAGGUGCAUUAAAGAAUCAGGUAAUUCAAGAUAAAGUCCAAAAAUUAUUAAAGAUUGGAUCAAUCUGCGAGGUAAAGUAUCCUAAUUGGUUAGCUAAUACGGUGGUCGUACCUAAAAAGAACGGUAAGUGGCAUGUUUGUGUGGAUAAUACUGAUCUAAACAAAGCUUGCCCAAAAGACUCUUUCCCUUUACCGCAUAUAGAUCAAUUAAUUGACGCAAUCGCAGGUCAUGAACUUCUAAGCUUUUUAGAUGCAUAUUCGGGAUAUAAUCAAAUUAAAAUGGAUCCUGAUGAUGAUGAAAAAACUUCUUUCAUCAUAGACAGGGGGACUUACAGUUAUAAAGUAAUGCCCUUUGGUCACAAAAAUGGAGCAACCUAUCAAAGGUUAGUCACCAAAAUGUUUCAAGAACUUUUGGGACAAACUAUGGAGGUAUAUAUAGACGAUAUGCUCGUCAAAACCCAUCAUUCUCACGAUCAUAUUUCUCACUUAACUAUUACAUUUGAAAUUUUACGGAAAUUUAACAUGAAACUCAACCCAGAAAAGUGUGCAUUUGNNNNNNNNNNNNNNNNNNNNNNNNNNNNNNNNNNNNNNNNNNNNNNNNNNNNNNNNNNNNNNNNNNNNNNNNNNNNNNNNNNNNNNNNUAAGUAAAUUCUUGGGUUUUCUUGUUUCUAACCGUGGCAUUGAAGUAAAUCCUUCUCAGAUAAAGCAAUAGAAGAAAUACCUGAUAUCCUUACCAAUAAGAAGGUGGUUCAAAGACUAACGGUAAGGAUUGCCGCCUUGGGAAAAUAUUUUACGUUCUUUUCUGCUUUCAAAAAGGAAGAUCAUUUUGAGUGGAACGAAGAUUGUCAACAAGCCCUUAGGAGCUUGAAAGCUUACUUAUCAAAUCCUCCACUGUUGGCGAAACCAAAGGAAGGUGAAACAUGCUUAUCUACUUAGCAGUAUCAGAAGUUGCGGUAAGUGCUAUUUUGGUACGUCUUUAUUAUGUAAGCAAAUCUUUAUUAGAUGUUGAGACACGAUAUCCACAACUAGAAAAGUAAGCACUAGCUUUGAUCAUGGCAUCUAGGAAAUUAAGACCUUAUUUUCAAUGUCAUCCAAUUGUCUCAGGUUCUUUCAAAUUGGGGACUUCGUUCUAAAAAAGUGUUCCAAUCUACGAAGACAACUAAUUCAGGAAAGCUAAGUCCAACGUGGGAAGGACCUUAAUUUCUUUUCCAUUACGAAACAUUUUGCAUAAACAUGAAUUAUCAGGAAGAUUAGCAAAAUAGGCUAUAGAAUUAAGUGGGUAUGAAAUUAUUUAUCAACCUAGGACUGCUAUAAAAUCUCAAGUUCUCGUUGAUUUCGUAGCGGAUUUUUGUCAAGGGAUGCAUUUAGAAGCGGAAAGAAAUUACAAGUCUUUAAUGGAAUAAACCCAGGAACUUGGAUUUUGUGUACUGAUGGUUCAUCUAAUGUAAAAGGAGCAUGUUUAGGAAUUGUUCUUAAACCACCUAUGGGUAAGACCAUUAGACAGGCUAAAAUAUCACCUAUAAUUAAUAAUGAAGCAUAGUGAGCAGGCUUAGGAAUUGUUCUUAAACCACCUACGGGUAAGACCAUUAGACAGGCUAUAAAAUGUCACCCUGUAACUAACAAUGAAGCAGAGUAUGAAGCUGUGAUUACAGGUUUAGAGUUGGUACUGGAACUUGGCAUCACACAUAUUAUAAUCAAGAGUGAUUCACAGCUCGUGGUAAAUCAAAUACUGGGGACUUAUGUAGCAAGGGAAACACGAAUGCAAGAGUAUCUCGAAAAGGUACGAGAACUGAUAAGACAGUUCCAAACUUGGAAGGUAAUGCAAAUCCCAAGAGAGGAGAACGCGGAGGCAGAUGCUCUAGCUAAUCUUGCAUCUACGGCAGACAUAGAAAAUGACGCAAAUGCUUCAAUCAUACAUUUAUUCCAUUUAGUUCUCGAACCUGACAAAAAUGGGGUAAAUUUUAAUCACUUAACUUGGGAUUGGAGAAACGAAAUAGUAAUUUUUUGCAGCAUGGAACCGUUCUUGAGGAUAAAAUAAAGGUUCAUGCACUUCGAAAGAAAGCUGCUUGUUAUUGCCUAUAUCAAGGAAACCUUUACCGAAAAAUGUUUGGUGCUCCAUUAGCAAGGUGUCACGAUCCUUCUCAAACGGAGUAUGUGAUAAGAGAAAUACAUGAGAGACAUUGUGGAAAUCAUGCAUGAGGCAUGUCACUUGUAAAGACAUUGAUUCAAGCAGGAUACUAUUGGCCUAAAAUGGAAGAGAAAGCGAAUGAUUUCGUGUCUAAAUGUGACAGAUGUCAAAGAUACGGUAACAAUAUGCAUAGACCAGCCGAAUUAUUACAUCAUGUUGUAUCUCUGUGGCCCUUCAUGAAAUGGGGGAUAGACAUCGUAAGUCCAUUACCACAAGCAAAAGGUCAGGUAAAGUUUUUACUCGUACUUACUGAUUAUUUCACUAAAUAGGUAGAGGGCAUUCAAACAGGUACGAUAGAAAGAGGUUAAAGAUUUUAUCUGGAGAAACAUCAUAUGUCGCUUAGGGGUACCAAAGGAAAUCGUAUGUGAUAAUGGUCCACAAUUCAUAGGAGCACAAAUCAGGAGUUCUUCCAAAGUUGGCAAAUUAAAAGGAUAACUUCAAGAACAUACCAUCCUGUAAGCAAUGGAUAAGUGGGAUCCACAAACAAAGUCAUAAUCAAUAUUUUAAAGAAAAGAUUGCAAGACUCAAAAGGCAAUUGGCCUGAAGUGUUACCUGCAAUACUAUGGGCGUAUCGAACAACAACGAAAACAAGCACGGGAGAAACGCCAUUUUCAAUGGUUUAUAGAGCAGGGGCCUUAAUACUAGUAGAGAUCGGGGAACUAAGCACAAGGUACGUUGUUUCAACGGAAGACUCAAACAAUGAAGAGUUACGAGUGAAUCUUGAUUUACAUUACCCCGAAGGAUAAUGUAUAAGGGAGUUUUUCCACUUUAAGUGACAUUAUUCAAAAUGGGAUUAUUUCUUUAUUUUUAGAGUCGCCACUUGGGAUAAGAUUGGCUUUUGGUGUCCCAAGUCACCGGUUUAAAUUGAAUCCCAAAUCGAGGAAAAUUUCGACUUCCAGUUGGAGUCUGCAAACCAGAAAUUCUAAGCAAGGAAUUCUGUUGACCCGAGGGAAGGUGUUAGGCACCCUUGGAUUCCGUGGUUCUAGCAUGGUUGCUUAAACUAUUACAAAUGGCUAAAAUCUGAUUUUUAUACAUGUUCCAACCUAUAGUGCGAUUUAAAGAUUAUUUACCGCUUUUAAUUUGAUUUUAAAGAAAGUGAACGUCAGUUUAAAAACGUGCUUUUCGAUCACGUCACAUGGAAUGCACCCGGAUCCUCGAAAUAUUCUUAUUCGACGUUUUUGGAUUUGGAUUUAGGUUGCAUGAAAUGCACACCUGUAUUUAAGAAGGUAAUUUUAUUUAAGUAACAGACCUAAAGCAACUAACGUGUUUAUUAUCUUUGCGAGGGCCAUGAUAAUUUGCUAAAUGACAUGCCUCGGAUUUCUAUGCAGUAAAGUUAAUCAAGUGAGGGCCAUGUGUUUUGAGAUUUUAAUUGACAUGGCACACCUCAAAUUAUAACAAAAACAACAACAACCCAGUAUAACCUCACCUAGUGGGGUCUGGGGAGGUUAGUAUGUACGCAGAUCUUACCCCUACACUUGGGUAGAGAGGUUGUUUCCAAAUAGAUCCCCGGCAUCCUUCCCCCCAAGAACUUCCUACCUUGCUCUUGGGGAGACUCGAACUCAGAACCUCUCUGUUGAAAGUGGGGGUUGCUUACCAUCAGAGCAACCCCUCUCGUCAUGGCACACCUCAAAUUAUUCCUAAGAAUUUAUGACUUAAUUAAAGCAGACUACGAUGUUCUUAAUUUGUUAUUUCCCUAAACUUUGGUUUAAAACAAUAGGCUUAAUAAAACCAGAUUCAAACCAUAUGUAUCAAAUUGAAUCUACUGGGCAUCACCUUAGUGUAAAUGCAUAAAAGAAAAAUGGAAGGAAAGGAAUCAUGAUACCGUGACAAAUUGCUCAUGAAAACUUAGAAGAAACAAUACACAUUUACGUGCAUUCGUAACCCAACAAUUGAAACAGUGCCAUGUUCACUUCGUACAUUACUACUAAAUUCUUUAUACAUGUACUUCCUCUCCAUCAUUAGUCCCACUACCGUUCAAAAUAAUUGAUCCAUUUCCCUUGUCAACACAUGAAAGAUAAUCCAAACCGACCAAUACUUUUCAGAAUCACCCCCACAAACUUUCCUCUACCCAAAAAGCAUACAAAUAUCAAUGAAUUUAACAGCCGGCCGCUACAGAUCAUAAAUGAAUAUAACAACUUUCUCGCUAAAAGAUCAUAAAUCAGCAUUAAGUUGACAGCACCAGAAACUAAUCAAAGGAGGAAAUUUCGGCAAGUUCAAUAGCUGGCAUAUUCAAUGUAAUCAAAGAAAAGUCUAGCUACUAGUGGCCUAGAACUUGAAUUCAAUUUAUUAAAUGCAGGAAAACUUCCCAUCCUUACAUACAACAAUGAAAUAAUUCUUCACGAUAUUAUGCAAAAGCCAGCAAUAUGAAUGAAUCAAUGGUAUCACAGUCCACAAUGCAACAGAUUAAAAGAGUUACUUAGAAAAUGUAAAAGGACUGAAAAAUAAACCAUAAACUUGAUUAUCCACUGAAACCAUAAAUACAGAGGAGUUCAGACUGACCUAUUUCAGCAAGGAAGUUAAUAUGAGCCAAAUAAGAGCAGCAAAUCAGUUCAAACAGCUCGGCAAAAUAGAUAGAGCAAAUGCAACAACAUAUAUCUGGCACAAACUUCAGAAUCCUAGAGAAUGAGAAGACGAGGCAGUAGCAACUUCAAACGAAUUUUCUCUUGAUUUUUUUGCUAGAGAUUUUCAUAUUCAAAGAUACCGGAAUCCGUGUAUAUUCUUUUUCCGGAUUCGAAACAAACUCGACAGCUUCACUAAACUAUGAAAAUUCCCCAAAAGUGUAGAACAACGAAUUGAAAUUGAACCCAACUUUGUAACCUUGAAUUUCAGAUCUGAUCUCUGUAAUUUCACGACCUUGCUAGAGGCCUAAGCAUGUGUGUCUUCUCAUGAAGUGUAUGAGCAGGAUGUAUAUAUGAGAAUGGAGAAGUUUCAGAGCUGCUUCCAUGGCAUUUUGGUUGUUUUUUCUAGCUGAUUUUGUGAUUUUGAGAUUGCGGCUGUUUUUGGGGUCGAUUGGUGAGUGUGUGUAUGUGUUAUGACUGAUUUUAUAUGGAGAGAAUGGAGGAGCAGGGGCCUUUUCGUUGAAGAUGAUGGGAGCACGCAGAAGAGGUCCAAGCUCCGAGUGAAACAAAAAUGAGGAAGGGGUCACGCUAUUUCCGUGUCACUAGCUCCCUCCCCGUUCUUUCGCGUGUUCUCUUUUAAUGAGGGAGGGGGGUCCGAU